CACUAUUAUUAAAAUAAAUUAUGUUCCACAAUAAAAGCGCCCAAUUCUGAUUUAUUUCUAACAUACCACAAUAUAUAUAUGCACACAAUUUUCCCCAUUAAUUCAGCAAAUCAUGCGCAGAAUACUUCCAUAACUAUAAACUUUGUUGACGUGCAAAUAGAAAGACACUAGCAAAUUUAGCACACGUACAUUUGCUACGAACUUUAACGAAAAUGAAAAUUGAUGGACAACAUAAGUAAGCUGAAAAUAGUUGCCUGGAAUGCAAACGGGCUCAUUAAACAACUAUCUGAGCUAAAACCGUAUCUAAAUCAAAAUAAAAUGUUUAUCUUACUGAUAUCAGAAUCCCAUUUGACAUCUAAAUGAUACAUUGCUAUCCCAAACUACAACAUAUAUCCCACAAAUAACCCAGGUGACAAAGAUCAAUGCAGUAAAACAAUAUGCUUUCGAAAAUAUACAAGCCACAAAGGUAGCAGUUGACGAUUCUCAAAGGUAUUUCACAAUUACGGCUAUUUACUGCCCACUCAAAUUCAACAACACAGCAGAAGAAUAUCUAAAAAUCUUAAAAUAACUUGGUGAUCGCUUAAAAUAGGUGUAGACUUUCAUGCAAAAACUCAGAUUUGGGGGUAGAGAUUUACGAAUGUGAAAGGUAAAAACCUACAUGAAGCGAUAGUAACGAACAAAUCCUCUUUCCUUAGCACGGGGAACCCACAUAUUGGCCAAGUGAUCCUAGAAAGACUCUUGACCUAAUAGACUUCUUUACUAUAAAAAUGUGAAAAAGGAACUAUUAACUAUAUAAUCAUCAACUGACCUUUCAUCAGAUCACUCUCCGAUUAUAGUUAAUUACAACUCUACAAAAAUGCAGCCAAACGACUUCAGCAAGUCGUUCGGCUUUCGAGAAGUUAAAAAAACACGCAAAAUUUUAAUUUUUAAAAACUUUGUUUAUGAUCGCCUUCAAAGUGCUCUCAUAACGGCCAAAUAACACUCCUUAUUGAUCGUUUGACCGUCCGGAAGGAAUUCAUAGUGCACUACACCACGAAUAUCGAA